GUUAGGGUGAUUAUUUUUACCAGCUACUUUGUUUCUUCAAAUAAGUUCAAUGGGCUUGAGUUUCCAUUAAAAUUAAAAGGGAAGACACUAAUGUUAGUGGGUGAUUCUUUAGGCCGAAAUCCCUUUAAUUAGUCCUUGAUUACUCUAUCUCUGAUGCCAAUGCCCUUCGAGCUCAAAUGCAGAUGUAAAGGAGUGACCCUAUAUAAUCUGGCAAGUUCUUGAUGGACCUUUUGAUAUCUAUGACAAAUUACACAAAUAUUUUCGUGAUGUUAUCAGGAUUCAUAUUAUGGCUCCAAUUAGUUUAGGAUAGAGGCGUAGUUUCAUUGUUGUUGUUAACUUGGUUUUUUAUUUCGCCGAGUUGUUUUUAAUUGCUAAACACUUAGAAUGUUGAUUUGCUUGCGUUUACGACUUUCAAUGUCUUCUUUCCGAUGGAUCAUUGUAAAGCUUCAUAACUGAUGCAAGUGUUAUUGCACUAUAUGGAUUAAGUAAGCGUGCCUUUGGAGGGAUGAGAAGACUUUCAACAUACUACAGGAAUAUUUAUGUUUUCUUGAAACGGUACAUUUUACUCAUUAGAGGUGCAGGUUUGCAUUCUUUACCUUUUAUAUUUCUGAUAGCGUGAUUGUCAAAUUCUAUUCCACAAAGGGAGAGUGCGGGAGAAAGUGUUGCCAAGAUAAAAGUUUAUGUGGUAUUAAGGUCAAUAAUGUUGUAAAGAAUAAUCCAGUAUUUACAUGGAGACUCAUGAUACUUUCUUCUACUUAAUUAAUAUUGGAUGACAUUUGUGUGGUAUUCAAAGAUUAAAAUAUAAUUUUGUAAUGUUGGACAUAUUUGUAUUUCUCUUUUGAGUGAUCUUCUACAUUUCUAAAUUCAUUCUAGUAUAUGCCUUAACAGAAGAAUGAGAAUAUACUCUUAUGUUGUUAUCUUUGUGCUAGCAUUAAUUGCUUAUACGAUUUGCUCCUAAUAGUCAUUCUUCAAUUUUUUUCACGUCAUUGCAGUGAGAUCUAAUUACUAAGCUUAUGAAAUUCCUUCGUGCCUGGCUAAUAUGAACGGAAAUCAUUUAUUUUCUUGUGUCCAGUGUAAAUUUGGGUGUGUACUGAUACAUAUUAUCUUGUCACAAUCUUUACUUUUGCUCUUGAACCAGGUAAAUUCUAACAGUGUAAUGACACCUGCUUAUGAUAUGACACAGCUAGUUUGAUGCGGGCAAGCAGAACAACCAUUAGGUUAGUCUAUUUCGCUCGAAUGUCGAUUUAGCCGUUGAAACUUUGGGAAAUCCAAAAACAUUCGUGCAAUGCGUACGCACACAGAGUGUUCGUAAUGGAGACAAUCGCAAUGAUUUGACUUAAACUAUCUGGUGCUAAGGUGGAUGUGCAUAUAAACCACUUAGUGCGACGACAGGAGAAUUUCUUUUUCCGGUGCUUUUGCGUUUGGAGACUUAAAGCAUACAAAGCGAAGAUGCAAGAUCUGAAGAAUCCAUACAACUUGCCAGUAGAUUAUCAUUUUGCUAGGACUGUUAGGAGAAAGCUUAUCUUAUUCUCUAAGGAUGAUACAUAUUUUUGGCUGAGGGGUUCUGUAAAAUGUAGUGACUACAGUGCUACUUUGUUUCCUUUUUUUGUAAUUAAUACAAAAUAUAAAUGAAAGCAGAUAUUAUUUAUAAUUUUGUUUAUACU